CACACUCACUCAUCCCAGACGGCAGCUAGCAGCUAAGAGGGACUAUGACAGCACAUUUAAGUGUGCAUCCAGGUAACAACAGACAACCAGGAGUGGCAAUCACAAGACAUGAGACUCGUCCAGACCCGAACAGAGACCAUGACAUCAUACUGCUGGAGCUACCUAACCCAACUAGGAUUACACCUGUACCACUUCCUGACUGUCAAAAUCAGCCCACUGUGCCUCUCGGAGCUACAGUUCAGAUUGCAGGUUAUGGACCCAAACCUGGCGAAAGACGUAACAUCCGAUACUCUCCAAUGUGCUUACACCGAGUUUGUCAUCUGUUCAGUUAAACAUGAUCAAUUUAAGUUCUGUGGCCCAAGAAUAGGUGUGGAUACAUGUAAUGGUGACUCUGGUGGAUGAGUGGAGUACAAGGGCAUGCUAUAUGGUGUCAUUAGGGGCUUGGAUGACCCCAAUAUCUGUAUGGAAAGAGCUACAUUUGUGAAUGUCUGUUUAUACAGGAAGUGGAUCAAGAACAUCACUGGCCAAUAAUCCCAGACUGUUAUUGAAACAAUACUAGGAUGUUCGGGGUGUGGUUGACUGUGAAACGUUGUCAUUAAAAUGCGUUAAAAAUGUAUUAGUGAAAUUGUUGAGUUCAUUUAAAUUUGCAGUUGAUACAUUCACAAUUGAUUGGUUACAUUAAAUGUUCAUCUAUCAUUUGUAAAGCCCUUUAAGACAAACAAUUGUGAUUCUAUGACUGUAGUAUCACAGGGUAGUCUGAGUUACAAAUAUUAAUUUACACAAUGUUACUGUAGCUAUCACACUUUUGUUAUGGUAAAAAAUGAACACAGUUUUUUUUUCAACCAAGAUAUCCUUUUCUAUACUUUUCCUUUUUUUCAAUUAAAAAAAAUUGUACAAUUGCUCUUAUGUAAAUUCAACAGAUUAAGCAUGUUGGAAAAACUAUUAAAGGGCCAAAUAUACGUGUCUGUUGUUUAAAAAUAUACUUUUCACAAGUUUAAUCAGUGUGACUUCUUUGACAGUGUUGUCAGUUCAAAUAAAAAUGAAGAUGACUCAUUAUAA